UCGACCUGAGCUCAGGCAAGAGUACCCGCUGAACUUAAGCAUAUCAAUAAGCGGUGGAAAAGAAACUAACCAGGAUUCCCCUAGUAACGGCGAGUGAACCGGGAAGAGCCCAGAAUGAAAAUCUCCAGCCUCUGGCUGGCGAAUUGUAGUCUAGAGAAGUGUCCUCUACGG
rnacentral:rRNA from 1 species